rnacentral:rRNA from 1 species
GAUGAACGCUAGCGGCAGGCCUAACACAUGCAAGUCGAGGGAGAAGCCCUUUCGGGGGCAGAAACCGGCGCACGGGUGCGUAACGCGUAUGCAACCUACCUUUCACAGGGGGAUAGCCCGAAGAAAUUUGGAUUAAUACCCCAUAAUAUUAUUGGAUGGCAUCAUUUGAUAAUUAAAACUGCGGUGGUGAAAGAUGGGCAUGCGUCCUAUUAGCUAGUUGGAGUGGUAACGGCACCCCAAGGCUACGAUAGGUAGGGGUCCUGAGAGGGAGAUCCCCCACACUGGUACUGAGACAGGGACCAGACUCCUACGGGAGGCAGCAGUGAGGAAUAUUGGUCAAUGGUCGGAAGACUGAACCAGCCAUGCCGCGUGCAGGAAGAAUGCCUUAUGGGUUGUAAACUGCUUUUAUAUGGGAAGAAUAAGGCGUACGUGUACGUUGAUGACGGUACCAUAUGAAUAAGCAUCGGCUAACGCC